AAAAAGUUUUUCUAUUAAAA
rnacentral:tRNA from 1 species